rnacentral:rRNA from 1 species
UUGCACGCUGGCGGCAGGCCUAACCCCUGCAAGUCGAGCGGAUGAAGGGAGCUUGCUCCUGGAUUCAGCGGCGGACGGGUGAGUAAUGCCUAGGAAUCUGCCUGGUAGUGGGGGAUAACGUCCGGAAACGGGCGCUAAUACCGCAUACGUCCUGAGGGAGAAAGUGGGGGAUCUUCGGACCUCACGCUAUCAGAUGAGCCUAGGUCGGAUUAGCUAGUUGGUGGGGUAAAGGCCUACCAAGGCGACGAUCCGUAACUGGUCUGAGAGGAUGAUCAGUCACACUGGAACUGAGACACGGUCCAGACUCCUACGGGAGGCAGCAGUGGGGAAUAUUGGACAAUGGGCGAAAGCCUGAUCCAGCCAUGCCGCGUGUGUGAAGAAGGUCUUCGGAUUGUAAAGCACUUUAAGUUGGGAGGAAGGGCAGUAAGUUAAUACCUUGCUGUUUUGACGUUACCAACAGAAUAAGCACCGGCUAACUUCGU